ensembl:lncRNA
AGAUAAUAAAACCCACAUUUCCAAAAGUCCAGAAACAGGGAUGUGCAGGUAUAGCACAGAUCAGACAACACAAUCAUCACAGCCCUGUAUUUAAAUGGAUCUAAGAUUAAUGAUCCUGCAACAUUAUACUGAUUCCCAGAAUUCUGGGCAAAUAAAAACUCUUAUAUUCAAAUUGUAUUAUGCAUUCUCAUGCUGUGAGCUGAUAUUAUCAUUCCAAAACACAAAAAUAAAUAAAUAAAUAAAUAAAUAAAUAAAUAAAUAAAUAAAUAAUAAAUUAAUAAUAAUAAUAAUAAUAAUAAUAAUAAUAAUAAUAAUAAUAAUAAUAAACUUGCCGUUAAUCAGAUGAUAAAUGAAGUCAGUUGGGGGAGAUUUACAGGGAGCUUCUUCUUACACAACUGGAUAAAGAUUUCAUGAGAGGAAGUCAGGUCAGUUACCAAACAUCAAGUGAUCUGGCUCACCAUUCAAAUAUGGUUUCUGUUUAAAUAAUGUGGGUUGAUUUGAGGAAAACAGGUCUAUUUUCUAGAUUCUAUUUCCAUCUCAGUGGGUUGAAUCUGUCUUGCUGUGAUUAAUAUGAAACACUAUGCUACAUCUUCGAGGAAGGAAACUUUGAGAAUUUCAAAGAGGACCUGCUCUAAUGGAUGAAUGAAUGUCUAAUUCUCUCUAUUUCUAUUGACUGUCUUAUUGUACAAUGUGCUGUAAAUAUCUUCUUGCCUGUUUUCCACUAACAGGUUGUUGGAGCAAGUGCCCAGUGCUGGAAACGACUAAUGAAGUGAGGUGAUGUGUGUUCAGCUGUCAGGGCAUCAGUUCCAGCACAUGCACCAGCACCAUUACAGCGGAAAGGGACUAUCUAUGGAUAUUUCAGUGGAAUACAGCCUGAGGCAUCUUUUCAGUGAUUUUCUCUGUGGAAAAAGAAACAGGCAAAUCAGGCCCAACAGCAUGUGGCAUUUGCAAAGAUAAGAGCAUUAUGUCAGCGUUUAGUCGGACAUUUAUCAGCCCUCUCAUCGGCCACAUGGGAAAGCUGCUCUCCAAACUGUUGUGAUGGACAGGCCUUUACCGCAGUGACAAAGACAAUGCUUUCUAUAUUUCUCUUAUUGUCAGAAAAAUGAAUCACAACACCUGUCAAUGAAUAACGUCGAAAUGUGGGCAAAUGGGUAAGCAUAUCUGCAGUAAAGGCUGUGUGCAGCUAUUGUUAGAGAUCCCAGGAUAGCAGUUGGGAUGUGAAAUGGAGUUAUACACAUUCAGCACACUGCUCUUUCUCUGGCAGCAUGAAUUCUGCAGUAAGCACACCAUUCUCAGCAUGUUUUCACAGUCCUUCCUGACCUCCAUCUCUUAGGACAUCAUUUGAGCACAUAUGUAAAUAAUGAUUUAUUUAUUGAAAGGUCAGAGUGCUUUUCACUAUACAAUCUCAGGACAGAUUUUAUCAGCACAACCAUUGUAUUCAAUAGAGAAUACUGAAUUGCACCCACCUAUCGAAACUGAGGAACUAAACAGCACUCCUCACAGAUUCUUCUGUGGUGACCUUCUCCGUAUAGAGUAAUGGAAACCUUGGUUGGUCUCUAUAGGCUGAAGCAGAGUGAACAAAACAUAUUGCAGUCAAUACUUACAAUACACUGGCAACAGUUGCUUGUGAAAGAUUCUUUGAGUGCCACAAACACAUCAUAUGAUGACAAACUGAAAAGUAAUUGGACAAUCCCUUCUAAUUAACUAGUCUGAUCACAUAGCUUAUAUUUCCAAAUAUGUUCAUACUUCU